GGUGCGGGAUGGCCAGUGGAGCGCCUGCCGUAGUCGCAUCUUCAAGAACAGCGAAGUGUUGGGUGGUCUUCUGGUGAUUCAAGAGCAAAAGCAAGAAACGUUUGUUACAGCUGUCAGAAUCUUUUUGCUAGUAUUAGCCAUUUUUCCCAUGGUUCUGGCAGUUAAAGUUGAGUUGUGACUAUGGCUCAUCGGUUUUCAAAAGAAGAACUAGAUGAGCAAUUUGAACAGUUUCUGAAAGAGUCUCUUUCAGAUGAUUCGUUUGGACAUUCAAAAGAAAAGUCCAGUGUUCUUGAGACACUGGGGAAACCCAGUAGGAAAGAAUCGAAAAAAAAAGAUGCUGUGCCAUGGUGGAUAGCUGAGGAUGAUUCUGAUGAUGGUGGUAAAUAUUGUGUGUGCACAUAUCUGUAUAACUUCUUGGUUUUUUCUGCCACAGGGUGUCAGUAAAGAUCUUUCUUUCUUUCUUUCUUUUUUACAUUCAGAGUAGCAUUGAUAAAACAUGUAGGUCAAAAAUACUUGCAUCUUUAACAUAUUAGUGUGCCUGUUUGCUGAAAGGAAAACUAAGCAAAUGUAUGAAACACUUGCAUUUAAAUCUUGAUCUGAAGGAAGAUUCAAGCUGUAAACUAGAUCUUCUCUACUGUGUUGUUUCUUUUUUUUGUU